GCGCGAGUAGCUCAGCUGGAUAGAGCGUUGCCCUCCGAAGGCAAAGGUCGUGGGUUCGACUCCCUCCUCGCGCA
rnacentral:tRNA from 1 species